CCUACGGGUGGCAGCAGUGGGGAAUAUUGGACAAUGGGGGCAACCCUGAUCCAGCCAUGCCGCGUGUGUGAAGAAGGCCCUCGGGUUGUAAAGCACUUUCAGUGAGGAAGAACGCCUGGUGGUUAAUACCCAUCAGGAAAGACUUCACUCACAGAAGAAGCACCGGCUAACUCCGUGCCAGCAGCCGCGGUAAUACGGAGGGUGCGAGCGUUAAUCGGAAUUACUGGGCGUAAAGCGCGCGUAGGUGGCUUGAUAAGCCGGUUGUGAAAGCCCCGGGCUCAACCUGGGAACGGCAUCCGGAACUGUCAAGCUAGAGUGCAGGAGAGGAAGGUAGAAUUCCCGGUGUAGCGGUGAAAUGCGUAGAGAUCGGGAGGAAUACCAGUGGCGAAGGCGGCCUUCUGGACUGACACUGACACUGAGGUGCGAAAGCGUGGGUAGCAAACAGGAUUAGAUACCCGGGUAGUC
rnacentral:rRNA from 1 species